GUUUUGUAAUUGCAUUCUGCUGCCGUGGCCAUCAUUUUCAUUAGUGAUGCUAACAUAUUCAGUCGUAUAUGAGGUUUACUAAGACUCAAAAGUCAUGAUUGUUUCAAUAACGAGGACUCAGUAGUUGUAGACUAUAUUUUUGAUCAAUAAAUGUCAAUACCCUUUUUUUAAAAAUAAAGAAAAAAAAUUCAUUUGGAAGGUGCACAGGCAAGAUAAGUUUCAGUCAUGCUAGCUCUUAAUCUUUUGUGUAGUUCAAGUUCAGAAUCUUCAAGAAGUUUGAAGUAUUUAGUUACUGAAAACUUAUAAGAGCAGUUUAUAUUUUCUUUUAGCAUAUUCAAUUCAGAAUUAAUGUAACUAUCAUUUACAAAUAUGAUAUAUCACAUUACAAAGUAUUUUAAAAUAAUCACAUACCCAAUUUAUGAUAACUAGGAUUGUCAUGUUAUACACACAUUAAACUAAAUUGAUAAAUAUGGAAAACUUGAGGGUUAAGACAAGUACUGCAAAAAUUAUUUAAAAAAAUAGGUUUGAUUCUCAGCACCACAUAUAAAUAAUAAAUAAAUAAAUAAAGCUCCAUUGACAGCUAAAAAUAUAUUUAAAAGAAAAAAAAGUAGGACAAUAUCAAGUAAACUGGGUGAUCUUGAGCCUGAAGAACUGAGGGUAAGACACACCUAUAUCAUAAGUUAUUAAGUUAAACCUGUUUCUUAAAAUAACAGAAUUCCUAGCUUAAAACUUGGGAGUUUGUGCAUAGUCCCUCUCUGAAAGAUUAUUUGUGAGUGAUGUUCACAUUCUGUAGGGCCAAUGUUAAGGUUCAUUUAGGGUCAAGUCAUUGAUAAGGAGAUAUAACCCAGGGACAUUUAACCACUUAGCCACAUCCCCAGGACCCACUCACCCACCCCUGCUUUUUUUGAGAAGAUUUUGCUAAGUUGCUUAAGGUCUCACUAAGUUGCUGGGGUUGACUUUAAACUUGGAAUCCUCCUGCCUCAACCUCCCUGCCGCUUGGAUUACAGGCAUGCACCACCACAUCCAGCUAACCACUACUUUUAGUCAGUUUUAAAUCAAAGUUGUUCCUUUGUCUUUCGUGAUAAAGAAAAAAAUUCUUGUUUGUAUUUUUAUUCAUUAACCUAGGUGUAACAAGGAAUUGAGAAUGAGAUAAGAGGCACUGCUGAAGACCUAGUCAGCAUGAGCCCAGAGAUAGAUCUCUAUGGCUCUGUUGGGAAUACACAUUGCACUUUAUAAUAUUCAAAGCAGAAUUUACUCUUACAGUUACUGAAUCAUUGAGGAACAAUAUGGAAAUAAGAAUUUUAUUCACUAUGGCUUACGUGAUCUCACACUUAACCAAAGCUCAUGAGAUCUGCAAUAUUUGUGAAAUAAUUUGUGUGGAAUAGGUUCAUUUCAACUUCUUGUUUCACUAAAGUUUAUUUGAGAAUCAGGCCAAAUCAUCAGAAAGUAAUACUAUCUGGACUACUUACCUAUUACCUCUUUAUCUAAUAUUAAUGUCCUUGACUUCCACAAACAAAUAGUAUAUGAUGCAUCUAUUUGAAGGAAAAACAUAGUAUAUUGCAAAAGUCUAAUAAAUCUGUUAUCACUUAAGUUCAUUGAUGUCAGGAUUACUGGAUAAUUUUGUACCAGCAAAGUUUCCUCCUCUUUGUCACAAAGAAUCCACCAUUAUGUAUAAAUAUAAUGUACCAAUUAAAAAUAUGGAAAGAAUGUAUUUGUCUAGAGAACUUACGUUGGAAGUGCUCACAUUUGCCAUGAUGUAUACAGCCUAUCCCCUUGCAUGCCAUAUAUAUAUAUAUAUAUAUAUAA
rnacentral:lncRNA from 1 species